UGAAUCCGCGCGGGAGAGUCCCCGGCAGUCCGUCUGCCCGGGGCGCCGAAGGAGCAAGUCCCUCCCUUGAAUCUCUCAGGCCCCGUUACCGCGCGGGCGAG
rnacentral:ncRNA from 1 species